rnacentral:rRNA from 1 species
UACGUAGGGGGCAAGCGUUGUCCGGAUUUAUUGGGCGUAAAGAGCGUGUAGGCGGCCAUGUAGGUCCGUUGUGAAAACCCGAGGCUCAACCUCGAGACGUCGGCGGAAACCAUCUGGCUAGAGUCCGGAAGAGGAGAGUGGAAUUCCUGGUGUAGCGGUGAAAUGCGCAGAUAUCAGGAAGAACACCCGUGGCGAAGGCGGCUCUCUGGGACGGUACUGACGCUGAGACGCGAAAGCGUGGGGAGCGAACAGG